rnacentral:rRNA from 1 species
UGCCUGUACCAUAACCGACACAGGUGGGUAGGUAGAGUAUACUAAGGGGCGCGAGAUAACUCUCUCUAAGGAACUCGGCAAAAUGACUCCGUAACUUCGGGAGAAGGAGUGCCUUAUUUAUAAGGUUGCAAUAACAAGAUCCAAGCAACUGUUUAUCAAAAACACAGGUCUCCGCUAAGUCGUAAGACGAUGUAUGGGGGCUGACGCCUGCCCAGUGCCAGAAGGUUAAAGAAGUUGGUUAGUGUAUGCGAAGCUGAUGACUGAAGCCCUGGUGAACGGCGGCCGUAACAAUAACGGUCCUAAGGUAGCGAAAUUCCUUGUCGGGUAAGUUCCGACCCGCACGAAAGGCGUAAUGAUUUGGAUACUGUCUCGGAGAGAGGCUCGGUGAAAUAGACUUGUCUGUGAAGAUGCGGACUACCUGCACCAGGACAGAAAGACCCUAUGAAGCUUUACUGUAACUUGAAAUUGGAAUUGGACUUUGCUUGCGCAGUAUAGGUGGGAAGCGUUGAAGAUAUUCUUGCGGGAGUAUUGGAGCUAUCAGUGAGAUACCACUCUUGUAAUGUUAGAUUUCUAACUUUGAACCAUAAUCUGGUCAAAGAACAGUUUCAGGUGGGCAGUUUGACUGGGGCGGUCGCCUCCCAAAUGGUAACGGAGGCGUACAAAGGUUUCCUCUGAACGGAUAGAAAUCGUAUCUAGAGUGUAAAGGCAUAAGGAAGCUUGACUGUGAGACCUACAAGUCGAGCAGGGACGAAAGUCGGUCUUAGUGAUCUGACGGUACUGAGUGGAAAGGCCGUCACUCAACGGAUAAAAGUUACUCUAAGGAUAACAGGCUGAUCUCCCCCAAGAGUUCACAUCGACGGGGAGGUUUGGCACCUCGAUGUCGGCUCAUCGCAUCCUGGGGCGGUAGUACGUCCCAAGGGUUGGGCUGUUCGCCCAUGAAAGCGGUACGCGAGCUGGGUUCAGAACGUCGUGAGACAGUUCGGUCCAUAUCCGGUGUAGGCGUUAGAAUAUUGAGAGGAGCCUUCUUUAGUACGAGAGGACCGAGAAGGACACACCGCUGGUGUACCAGUUAUCGUGCCAACGGUAAACGCUGGGUAGCUAUGUGUGGAGUGGAUAACCGCUGAAAGCAUCUAAGUGGGAAGCCCACCUCAAGAUGAGUAUUCUCAUCACUAUAAGUGAGUAAGGUCACGGUAAGACUAACCGUUUGAUAGGCAUUAAGUGUAAAUGUAGUAAUGCAUGUGCUGAGAUGUCCUAACAGACCGAGGAC